GUGCGGCUAAUAAAACAUAUAAAUUGUAUUUAUAAAGUAUAUUAUGUAUAAAAUAUAUUUGACGUGUUCAAACAUGAAAAGCAUGCGCACCCCCACAUUUUUUGACUGUCGCAAAGUAAACCAUUUUCAAGCGUGAGCGAUACAGUCUUCAAGAAAAAAAACAUUUUCAGCCGCAGUAAACAACAAAAUUCAGGAUUAUGGAAUACUGUUGAAACUACUGGAGGCAGAAUUAUCGGCAUCGAAAAACGUUUUCAUCAAUUGAACUUAUGCGAGAAUUCGGCAGAUCCAUCCAUUGACUCUGAUAGUCUGGUAGAAGGAAGUCGAUGGCAUAGUUGAAAUAUAUAUCAAACUAAGGAAGAGGAACUGGAUCCGGAAGAAUCCGGACUCAUACAGCGGGCAAAAUAUGCAAUGUACCAUGAAAUCGUCAGAUCAGUUUGUCCGGGUUGGUACAAUGGAAAGGCCAAUCAUUUCUAUCAUCAUAGCCAGCAGCAGGAUAUGAUUUGAUUUGAACCACUGAGAGGACCGUCGUACGUCAAACGGAUCAUCCGUGCCGUAACCCAUUCACCGAAUAAUGAAAUAUCACCACCUCGAUCACCACUUACCAUAUCCGCAAUCCGAAUUAUGGUCGCAAAGAUAUUAGUGAUUAUCGAUUGUUGGGGAGAGGGGGCGUUGGCACGGAUGAACCGUCUGAUGUAUGACAAGGACGAGUCAAGUAACUUAUCAUAUUUGAAUGGAUCAGUAGUAAUAUAACCACCGCUCUGGAAGUAGAACACCAGGUUUUAUUGGUUUUGCUCUGCUGGUCAAUUAUAUUUUUUGCGACUCUGAUAUUUAUGCAACGAAAGGAGCCAAACCAAUUCUUUUUUUAAAUUUUCGCCAUCACAAUAUUUUUUUGCAUCUUUGUUUUGUUAAAAAAAGUUACUGGAAAACUAUGAAUAAAUCAACACUAUAACCAAAUGUCUAUUUUCAGCAUGAUUGAGUUAAUCAUUUACUUCCCAUAUCAACAUUGCUGUUAUAAACAGCAUUUAAAUUCUGAGUAUAAUUUAUCUGUUUCUAAUUCGAGAUACUGCCAAUAUAUCACUAUUAUUUCCAUUACUCUCAAUAGUGUAAUCCAUUUGAGCUCCUUAAUGUGAAUCAAGAGGCUGCACAUAAAAUUCAUCUUGACGAUAUCGGCAAUAAUUCAAUAACGUUGCACAUAGUUUUCAUGUAUGAAAGUAACUGGUCAUAUUCUAAGUGCAAGGCAUAUAUAUGUAAUGUGCGUUUUUAUUUGA